AAAUGCGAUAAGUAAAGUGAAUUGCAGAAUUCAGUGAAUCAUCGAAUCUUUGAACGCACCUUGCGCUCCUUGGUAUUCCUUGGAGCAUGCCUGUUUGAGUAUCAUGAAAUCUUCAAAGUAAAUCUUUUGUUAACUCAAUUGGUUUCUACUUUGGUAUUGGAGGUCUUUGCAGCUUCACACCUGCUCCUCUUUGUUCAUUAGCUGGAUCUCAGUGUUAUGCUUGGUUCCACUCGGCGUGAUAAGUUAUCUAUCGCUGAGGACACUGUAAAAGGUGGCCAAGGUAAAUGCAGAUGAACCGCUUCUAAUAGUCCAUUGACUUGGACAAUACUUUUAUGAUCUGAUCUCAAAUCAGGUAGGACUACCCGCUGAACUUAAGC
rnacentral:misc_RNA from 1 species